AACACGCUACGAAGUCGUUUGACGUAGCAGAAACGGCCUCCGCACCGCUGAAGCGGAAACGUUGCUCUCGGAGUCGCGGUGGCUCUUGGGAGAGCGAGUCCGGAAAAUGCCACGGCAGGCUUCAGCCGAUCACUUCUUGGCUUCAGGCUAAGGCGUGGCUCCCAGAGGGUUAGGAUGAUGGUGCAGGGCUACCACUGCCCCCUGGAGAGCCGUGACCUCUGUUCACUGAAUAAGGGAGCACACAUCUUAUUUGCCUGAUCACUGAAUAAGGGAGCACACAUCAGAAGAAGUUGUGCCUGUGCUGCUAAAUAAGAAUAAAGAAUGUGCUAAGUCAAGGAAGAUGGUUUUAAGCUCAUCUGGGUCUCAUUGAGUUUCUACUACAGAGUUUGGAACUGAUCCAUCACCUCCUAUAAGGCAGCCAGUUGAACUUCCAAUAAGAAUUGUGUGUCUGGAGAUGAGCUUGGGGCUGCCAUGCUACCAAGCCUUUCAGUUAUGUCUGCUCAUUCAGUUUGCACACCCACCUCAUGAGGUGACCCAGAAACAAAAGAACUGGAGUUAAAACAGUCUACUUUGAGCCCUGUUUUGCAAAAGAGGAAAGUGAACUUUAGUGUACCUGUAGCUGCAGCCAGCAGAUGGCCCUGAGUCUACCAGAGUCACACCUACUGCAUUAAGCUGACUCUAUGGCAGCCUGUGUGGAUUGUGUGUGCAUCUCCCAAAGAUCACAGCAAGCCCAAGGGAGGUUCACAGUUGGUUGUGAAUGAGGAAGUCAAGGCACUGAUUGUCAAGUCCCCCAGAAGGACCAGGACCCCUCUCUGUUCAAGGUGUUAUACAAGACCUACUUCUCAUGAACUUCCUGUUCAAGGCCCUUCAUGAUAUGAUGAUGUUUUCUGGCCCUGAGAUCUUGCCUGACUGCCUGGCUUUUCUUAACUUCCUGGGUGGUCCUGUAAUGUGCAGGAGCAGACUUGUUGCCAGCUAUCUUCACCUUCCCCAGCUUCUUUCAACUGCCAUCUGAGUUGUAGCUACAUACUUACAAACCACAGAAGCCUCCUGAAUCUAAGGUUGGGAGAAUGUGGGGUUGUCUUGAGCAAGGAUGUGCAGGCAGAUUUCAUGAGCCUCUGGAAACUGGAAACGACAGCAAGGGGAUCUCUAUUAUCUUUCUCUCCACCACCUUGGUCCCAGUGUGCUCUAUUUGACCACCUUUGGGUGACUCACUGGUAGGGAGACAGAUCUAUCCGUUGUCAACUGUUUUUAAUAGUUGCUGCCUUUUAAACUAUGGCUGUCUUAGUCAGCAACUGCGACUUCACCACUACCAGCAGUGGCUUGGCUGCAAGAGCUGCAGCCUGAGGAAAUUCUGUACCCUCAGGCACCAACUCUUUCAAAGAUACCAAGAAAACUGAUCUAAAUCUCUGUCCCACUAAAAAACUCAAGAUUUAAAUGUUGAGGUAGAAUUCUGCUUUCCAGAAAGGCCGAAGAGCAAGCAGCUCACCUAGCUCACCUCCUCACAUCUCCCAAGAAGUCCUUGUGCUUUUUUCUCUUCCCUCCUUAUAAACCCUUCUCUACCUGGCUCUUCCCUACAACUUCCUGUCACUGACUCAGCCUCUGGAUUGCAGGUGAAUUUUAUUUAAUCAAACACAUCUUUGCAUCAUUAAACAAAUGUUUCAGGACAUAAACAAAACUAACAUGCCAUAAAAUAAUAUUCUACAACCUCUAUCAGUAUUGCAAUUCUAAGGCAGAGGUCCCCAUUGUAAGAGUCUGGCACCUGGCAGUCAUAUCACCCCUGGUGAGGUAAAGUGUUGUCUGACUUUUUGUGGCUCAGGUGGAAAUCACUAUGGUGACUUGGAAGUACUUCCCUUUAAUAUAUGUAUCACACUUUAUCCCCCUCCCAGAUUGCUUAUCAACUUAGUGAAUGACAGGGAGGACCUCGAUGGUACUGCUAUUUGUCAGUGCCUAUCUGUAGACGUUGGUUCUGUCCCAGAACUUUCACAUCUGCUUCAUCAGUGGCAUGUACAUCAAGACAGCUGUGGUAGGCUCUGUCUACCGCAAGUUAGGCCAGUCACCCACACCAAAUCCUGUUAUCUCAGAAUCCAGGAAAGCUGAUCUGGAACUCCCCAGAACCUGUGUGGAGAUUUCCAGACCAGCAUCCUGAACAAAGAAAUGACAUGGGCUACAGGGAUCAUGGGGCCAAGUAUAGCUCCCUUCAAGCUUUGUGUCUUAAUGAAGUGGUUCUCCGUGGUUGAUGUGUGGGAUGUCAGUGAACCCAUAUGCUGCCUGUGAAUAGCCAGGUUUCUUAGUUGACUUGGCUAUCUCUGAUGAAGUCAUGGAUGGACACCCAAGUUCAGGGGCUGAGGUGAGGGCUCAUUAGGUAAAGUGCAAGCCUGAUUGCUGUAGGAAAAUCUUUCAGCCAGUAGCCUUUAAGUUACCCACCCACUUGGGCGUUGCCUCUUAUACUAUAAAUGCUGUUGUAAAGUGCGCGCUCGCGCUCUCUUCCAGCUGUUGGAUUCUGCAUUCGAGCAGAGGGUGUGAUCUGUGAGUCUACCCCUAAAUAAAUAACUUUUUAUUAUAUUCAGUUC